UGUGCUACUGAGCUAUAUCCCCGGUCCCUUAGUUUUAGAAAUAUUGGUCUAGGUCUUCUUUUUUCAGUGCUGUAGACUAAACCCUGGUCCUGGCUUAUGCCAGGUAUCCCUGCUGCCCCCCUUGCUGAGACAUUUACAGUAAGUCAGCAGUUUCCAGGGCAGAAACAAGCCCAAGAUUUCCAGAAGGGCUUCCCCGGGGAGCUGAGCCCACCACCCUCCUGGCCUGCCCACGGCUCCCACCCUGGAGUAAGCAGUGCCAGGCUGGCCAACAAGUGCAUUCCUGCCCCACACAUCAACUUCUUGGUUAGCAUGUUACAUCCAUCCCUGCCUAGCUCCACAGCUUUGCUCUUGGUCCUCAAAUAAGGGGUGGGGAAGCGGGCAUCCAUGUGGCCAAAGGGAAAGAGCCAGCAGGUCCAUAGGCCUCUUGGGACAGACCCCAAAAUGUAGAUGAGAGGGCAGUGGGUAGCAGCCUGGGGCAGCUGGCACAGGUCCAUUUCUGAGAGCACAGGGUCAGUGCCUUCUUCAGACCUGGCACAGGCGGGGCAGCGGAGCCGCGCACAGUCCUCUACCCUCCACAGAGACACAUGCUGUGGUUUUUUAUUUGGUACCAGGAAUUGAACUCAGGACCUUGCGCUCGCCAAGCAGGUGCUCAUGCUGCUGAGCUAUAUCCCCGGCCCCCACAUGCUGUGUUUCUCACCUUUCUAUUGCUGGGACAAAAUGCCUGACAUAUACAACUUAAAGGAGAAGCUUAUUGGGGCUCAUCGUUUGGGGGGUUAUGAUGGUUGACUGACUGUGGCAAACUGAGAAAUUUAGUUAAACUUGACUAAAUGGGCUCAGCAGUUUUGCCCCCCAGGGUGUAGGAUGUAUCUGACUCUUUCUUUGGAGGAGCUCCAGUCUUCACCUUCACCUUGGACAUCACCUCCUGGCUUCCAGUGUAGGCUGUUCGGCUUCCGGCGCAGGUCCUUCGGCUUCCGGUGUGGACUCUUCAGCCUCCACGGCAGACUGAUACGGACUCCCAUGGGAUGCUGCAGUGAGCUCCAGACCUUGGGCUGAAUCCUCCAUUCGCAGUGUGCAGACACCCUCUGCACGCGUCCUCAUCCCACUGUCACAGGUAGCUUCCUCCUGUGGGAAGGCAGCCCUCCUUGUUGGCAGCGUGGACUCCUCCUCCACUUGGCCUCUAUCUGGUGGGACUGAUGAGGCCCAUCCACACAAACAUCUACUGUUCCCUUUUCUACCCAGCCACGGGUGGGCGUACUGCAGCUAGUGCAGCAGUCCCCUCUCUUAGGAUUAUACGAGGGCCUUGGGUCAUCCAUGGUCUUGCAUACCAGCCUCAACUCCUCUGAUCCGCCUCUAAUGGCCCUCCAUGACAGUUGGGGUAGCCAACACCAUCCCCAUGAGCUCUGGACUCAGAGCCUCCCAACCCCAGAAGCCCCAGCAGAGGAGCUUUUCCUACUCAGGGAUGCUGUUCUUGGUAGAAAUCUCCAGAAUGUGCUUUGUAACCAGGCUUCUCACCUCUAAAGGGCAGCUGCCAACACUUUCAGAGCCAACCUCUUGGGGCAGAGGACAGGCCACAAAUCAGAAGACUUCUCCCUGCCUCCUGGAUGCGUCUGUGCCUCUCACCAUCCUUCUUCCAGCCCUAGGGUGGGCAACUCAUGUUUUCAUGGGCUUCCCAGCCUGGAAGGGCCAACACACGAAGGAAAAGCUGUUUUGAGAGUCUUGUCACUACCUCUGACCAUGCUCCUCACCUGCCACAGCUCCUUAGGUCUGAGCAAACAGAGCUCUAUGGGUUGCGUAGCAUCCCAAAAAAAGAUCUGUUAAAGUCCUAGCCACCCAGAUCUUGUGAAUGUGACUGUGAUGGUUAAUUGUGACAUAACUGGAAUGGAUUAAGAAAUGCGUAGCACAUUCAUGGAGCACAGUUCUGGGUGUUCUGGAUGAUGGACAGGUAGGCCACAAACUGAAGAGGAAGCCCCACCCAGGAUGUGGGCAGCGCCAGCAACAGGCUGAUAGCUUAGAUGGAAUAAAAAGGGAAAGAAGUCAGCCUGCCCUUUUUGCCUCUCUAGAGGAGCUCCCAUUUUCACCAUCCACUGCCUUUGGACGUUUGUCUCCAGCUCCUCAGGCUUCCACUGCAGACUCUUCCGCCUCCCAGCGCAGACCCUUUGGCUUCCUGCCACAGACUCACACCAGACUGCAGGGAGCUCCAGGCCUGAGACCUCCAGCUGGAUCCUCCAGCCCUCCAGCACACAGGCAGCCAUUUUUCAUUCUUCCUCCCCUUCCUCCACUGUGGCCAUUUUAAGCCAAUUUUGUAAAUCCUUUAUAUAUCAUAUAUAUAUAUAUUCAUAUAUUAAAUCAGUUCCUCUAAUGGACCCUAACUGAUACGAUGACCUUAUCUAGAAAUAAGGUCACUGCAGGAGUGACUAGUUAAAUUGAGGUGAGGUCACCCUGGGCGUUUGAUCCAGUAUGACUGAUAUCCUUAGAAAAAACGGAGAAAGACACACACAGGCAGGAAACAGCUGUGAUGACAGAGGCAGAAAUCCGAGUGACAUGUCUACAAGCCAAGGAAUGCUAAAACUUGCCAGCAACCUAUCGGAAGCUGGGAAGAGAUGAGAGGGGAUCCCACCCUGCCUGUUUCAGAAGGAACAUGGUCCUGCCAACCUUGACUUCAGAUUUCUGGAAUCUUCCUGAGAGGUGAGAGGAUAAAUUUAAGCCGCCCAGUUUGUGUCACUUUGGUGCAGCAGCCCUAGAGAAUAAAUGGAGCCUGAACACAUUUUGUCUCUUCCUCUCCCCUGACCCCCACACACACCUAGAAAACAUCCUCCUCCAACCAUGUGUCUUUCAUUUUUCCUUACCCAGGCUGCCUUUGUGUGGGACCAGAUCAUGUGGCUCUUUUAACUCCAGAGAUGUUUCCAGUAACCCAGAUGUUUAGACCAAUGUAGACUAAACAGCCGGAUGCUUGGCCAGGCCCGUCCCUAUUUGAUCCUAAUGUUUUGGCAUCUGGGCCACCACUGUAGGCAAGGCAUUUGCCCUUGAAGAAAUGUGGGUCUCUUCUCGUGACCAGAUGUCCCCACCAGAGUAGAGCAAAGUGGCCAGAAAGAGCAUGGUGUGGCUGAUCUCCAACUCAGCAUCACAAGGAUCACAGAUCCCCCAGCAGGAGGCAGUUCACCUCGUGGUUGGGGACGGACCUCCAAAGGCAGCUUUCUUCCCGGAUGCCAUGAGUUGAGCAACUUUUCUUCACCACAUCCUUCUGCUGUGACAUUUCUGCCUGAUGCCCCCUUGACCAUGGAUUGAAUCAUGAACCAAAAUAAGCCUUUCCUCCUCUUUCCCAGGCUCAGCUUCUUCUAAGACUGAUUUCCCUCAUGGGUGUAGGAUGGCAUCAUCAGCGCAACCCGGGUGUGGAGAAAUAAAGUUCCUCUUUGCUUUGAGCAAAACAAUAAAAGGCAACUGACAGAAUCAAGGUCAAGGAUAUUUCAAGGAGAGGUGACAACUGUGGAGCCCACAUCCUGCUCAAAGGGGGAGAUGCUCCCCAACCAGAGGAUCACUGCCCCCAGGGCACUGGGUGCCCAAUAGCCCGAGCAAUUUUUUUUUAAGAAACUGAACGAUUUAGAUUUUUGAAAUGCAAAAUACUCCAGUUUUUAAAUAUUUCUACAUUUUUUCGUGUUUGAGCAAUUAUUAAAUACUAUGCCAGUUAAAGCAAAUAUGGCAGCAACCUUGGUUUAUCAUUUCUAAAAUAAACUCAAAUUUCCAGCUGUUUUCCUGACA